CUAGUCUUCUGAAGGAAGAGAGCGGCAAUCGCCAUUUUGUUCACUCUUGGACAGUGUGCUGACAGAAGAGCUUGCUGAGAGACCAUUUAUUUUGUUUAUUUAGCCUCAGAUUAUGAGCCCAGAAUGGUGUACUACAUACUUAAGUUUCUCCUCACAACGACCCUGUGAAGUAGAUUAGGCUGAGAGAGCAGUGACUGGCCCAGAGUCACCCAAAACAAUGAGAAAACUGUUUGAAGUGAGGUUUGUUGCUCGGGCCUCCGGUUUGCAACUUACGUCUGAAUGCAGAACUGGAGGCAGCCUUCCCUGGGGAAGUUGAGGGAAGGAUGCUUCUCCCUCUCUCCAUCCAUCAAAGACAGAACCUCUGGCCUGAUGCAUUUCGAGCUUAGGAGAGCUCUUCAUUGGAGGUAAUUGAACAGGAUCUUAGAUCUGCACCAAGUAUGGACUACUGCAUUCUCAGAGGUUACUCCACAAACUUGACUUGCCCUCCCAUGAGAUGUUCAGAAAAGCUAUAACCAGAGGUGCACCUAGACCAUUUUGGAGCCUGGACCUAAAGGCUUUUGGACACCCUCCUGCUGCAAGUUAAGCAUCAUUUUUUAACACGUAGGUUCUUGAGGGCACAAACCACGCCCCCCAGAACAGACUAAAGAAGAUUUGGGGGGGCCCAGGGUGUGUGGAGGCCCUGGACUUUGGCCCCAAAGUCCAGGGGUAAGAGCACCUCUGGCUAUAACCACUUUGUUUAUCUCUUCUUCCAGGAUUUAAACUGAGGAAUGCAGAUGAGUAGAUCUCCAAAUGUUGCUUCAUUCCCCGCCCCACACCGCUGCUUCUGCUGCUUUGAUGGCUUUACGUCUUGUGUUUCCCUAAUUUUAUUGAUUGUUUUAAUUGUUUCCAAUGUGUUCACCACCAUGUGACAUGGGCGGAGAAAGCUAUAGCCAUAUCCAUAAUACAGCACAGCGCUGCAAGGCACCAUGGCUGACAUCCUAACAAACAUUCAUGCUUCGAGGGACUGUGGGGAUGCAACUGAAGCACAGUUGCACAGAGGUUUUAGCCCUCAGAGCACUCCUCAUGCUCUUGAAGGGUUCUGCAAAAGCAGUAACACACUGCUGAGGGCCAGUGACAUCUUUCCACUGUCGCAGAGCCUUUCCAGAGUAUGGGGAGUGCUCUGGAGCCUAAAGUAUCCUGUGGAACUGCACUGGCAUGGGGAGAUAGAGGGAGUUGCACAAGGAGUCCCAUUGAACCCGUGCAUGAGUGCUUCAUUAGUGCUUAGAUGUCAGCCAGUGCCACUAACCCUGAAGCCGGAAGUGGCAACAAUGAGCACAAUGGUGGCAGCUGCUUGAGAGCUGGUGUAGCAUAGAAGCUGAAGAACAGCUGUGAGUCAGGAUUUCACCAGUGUAAGUGUUGCUUCUGCUAUAAAUUCACAAGGUGGCCUUAGGUAAGCCACUCCCUGAAAGGUGAGGAUAAUAAUACUUUCUUUAUAGGGCUUUGUAAGGAUUAUAUCAAUAAUACACAUGAAGUCCUUUGCACUCUCAAAAAGCACUAUACAAAUAUUAAGUAUUUUUAUUAGCGGUUGAGCAGUUUAGCAUACCUGAUUGUAAUAUUACUUUAGAACCCCAGUAUGAAAAUGACCACAAAAAGUAGAGAGACCUGCUUCAGAGUAUUACAGAGGGAGAUCAGUCUUAAAACUAUCUAAGGAUGCAAGAAAUUUCUGUUGCUCCUAUCGCAAUGAGAAAAUAGCAUAGUUGUUGAUGAGUGUCACAAACAACAGAAGGUUUGUGGAUAUUAUUCCAGAGUUACAAAACCAGAAUAGGCCAAUUCACACGUUAUGCUAUAGCCACCCUGAGCAGUAGUAGUGUACUGGAGGGGUGGGGUAUAAAUAUUUUAUGUCCAAUAUUAGUAUUAAAAGUUUACAGUGUACCCAGGUACAGAUCUGUAGACAGGUAAGUUAUUUAUAUGUUAUGUGGCACACAGGUACAGAAGUACGCUUCCUAUCUGUACAUUCACCUGAAGGGCCUGUAUCCAGAUUCACUUUUAAAAUUAACGCAGUAAGUUAUUCACACAAACACACGUACACACAGACAUCUGUACACUUUUACAGCAUAAUGUCUGAAUUGGGCUAAUGUACUGGGUGCAUAAAAUUAAACCAAUUAAGUUAAUUAAGCACAGGUCAUACAGAGUGAUUUAGAUCCGCAUUGCAAAAACUGUUUGUCUGUUUUUGAGGAUAACUGUCCCAAUCGUCAAAAGUACCAGAGUGUGGGAAGGUGGAUGUAUCCACAGAAGUAAAGGGAAGGCGUUGUAUAUUCCUAGUUGUACCCUGUCCAAAGUGGAAGAAUUGGCAAGCCCAAAUCAUGUACGAGGUGUCCAUCAUUUCACUCAAAAGAAAAUAUCUUUAUAUCUAUUUCAGUACAUCAAGAAUAAUAUUGCCAAUCUACUUUGACAGAUGGCAGAUUAUUUUUCCAACAGACUUUUCACUCACGUCCUCGCCAGUGCAGAUAGAAGUCUUCUACAGACAACUGGCCUGAGGAGCUGCCAGCACUUGCCUGCCUAUUCACGCAUCACCUUCCACAGUGUGAGGAAUCUUUUCACAGCACCAAAGAGACAAAGGAGAGUCACCAGAUACAGCAACUUUGGCAUUCAUCUCUGCUUCUGGAAGAAGAAUCAUGUACUUCUAGAGGUGGGCAGUGGUGGUAAAGAGAGGGGUCUGGGAUUAGAGCUCUCUGGUUGACAUCUACCUUUGCCAAUAUGGGUACAACUCCAUAGCUAUUCCUGUGCUGGUUUAGGAAUAUGUGUAGUAAUUUACACAACUCCAGGCAGACACAGAGCUCUUAGCAAAGCAUUUUCAUUGAACAACACACAUGCUAAGUAAAGCUAGCAGAUACAACAACAUGGCAGAUUCAACAUACUACAGUACAGAGUGAAACCUAACUGCAGCUUCACUAAACAAUUCAAAGUAUCUAACGAUCUUUCCCCUCAAGAAUGCCUAUACUAGACAAAAGUAUAUACAAGGUAGUGAUGAAGCACCAGGAGGGUGUCCAAUCACAAGUCGAGUCUCACAGGUGAUUUGCCUCUCUGUUCAGGAUAGCACUGGCCCCUUUCCUUCACACAACUGUUGGAGACAGCAAGUUCAGCACAGCUGACCAUCUGUGAGGCUUCAGAAACAACCAUGUGUUCUCCAUGAUCAGUUUCUGGUGCAGCUGUAGUGGAUCCAGCCUCCUCCUGCUGCGCUGCUGAUAGAAACGGAAAAGGUUCUGAGCACAUUGGUUAAGCAACCCAUGUUGGUGUCACCGCAGAGUCACACAGCUCAUCAAUGUGGUGGUGCCAGAUCACACCUGGAGAUACUUGGACAGUAUAUGCCGAGGGACCUGUUUGGUUAUGGAUAACAUUUGGUUACGGACACCAUUUGUUAGGUCCCCUGUAGUCAGGUGCCAUCACAGCCUGGCCCUCUCACAACUGAUGAGGCACACCACACCACUUUUGCAGCUGCUUGACUCAGGCUGUUGAUUCUUGACAGGUUUGUGCAAAUCAGGUUUCAACAUCUCUCAUCAGGUCUAUUGCUUGUGUGGUAUGUAAAAUGAGUGUCAGGAUGAACCUUGUGGGCAGAAGUCCUUACCUAUUUACAUACUUAACUGGAGCUUAAUGCUUCUCUGAUAGCUUCAUGCUUUGCUUUUGUUUGUUCUAUGUGAAUAGUUCCACCUAGAGGGCAAUGUCCACAGCAUUAACAGUUUUUGUUUUAAUGAACUAUAGAAGUACAGAAAAUAAAAGGAAAAUAUUAAUUUCAA